rnacentral:sRNA from 1 species
UAUGGUUAGAUUACCAAUGGUUGGCUUUGGUUUGAUUUCAUCCUUUAUUAAACUUGGUUUUCUGCAAAACAACCAUUCAAAUCAAUCUUGUUUGCAAGUUUACCUUCCAAGUAUGAAUUAUGCAAGUCAAUCCUACAAUCUCAAAAGUCACCCGCAAUACAGUCCUCCCGUGUAGUGAUGACGUGGUACUCGAUAACUCUUUUUAAAAACAUAAGGGUUUUGAAAACUUAAUAUAGUUAUAGAGAAAUUGGGUUUGAGUUAUUUUGGUUU